CUCAGAACUAAAAUGUUACUUAUUUGCUCCAGAUACUCAUUUUAAAUGAUGUAGUCUGUCCACUCGAGAUUAGGAGUCUUUUUCGAUUAAGCAAUAGUGGUGGAACUGUGAACCCAGACAGCAGAGCAGGACAGUGGGAGGAGCUAUAGGAGGACGGCCUCAUUGUACUGGCUGAUCUGUUGUACCAUGAAAGGCAGAGGAGAGCAAACAUUAGAUCAUGUAAAGACUGGAACUAUCCUUAGCAUUACUGAAACAUCAACAGGCAGAGUGAGACAGAUAUGAUGCUGGCUGUGUGUGUCACUGUUGUCCUGGGCCUUCUCUCAGUGAGUGGCUCCCAGGCGGCCCCUUUAACCUGUGAGGAUCUCCUGAGACCACUGGAGCUGAGCAGUGUCACUCAGACUCUGGGGAAGUGGAUGUAUAUUGCUGAGAGUUCAGACCGUCCUUUCUGGGAACAAAUACUGUAUACCUUAUUACACAGUGCCUGGAUAGAGAUCUCUGUGCCGGUCGGUACCCAGAACAACAUUCUUGACAUCGCCCAGUUCAUUGGCUUCGGUAUUCCACAUCAAAAUACUUUUGGAUUCGGAUGCUCCAGGAUCAACUCUAACUUUACUCUGCAUGACAAUAACACAUGGACCUCAGUGACCCCCAUCCCUGUUACUGAGGUUCUCCUGCCAACGUGCUCAGACUGCCUCCUGACCCUGGAGAGAUGGGAUGAGGAUGGGAAGACCUUCACCUCUCUAACACUCUACAGUAGGAGACGGGAGCUCACUGCUACUGAACUGGACUUCUAUAAGAAACAGGUGGAUUGUCUCAGUCUGCCACCAGCGACAUUCAUGGAUCCACAGAAAGAUCUCUGUCGCGACACAACUCCACUCUUAGAAGAUCAAAUUGCGAAGGAAGUUGAGAAUGCAGUUGAACUUAUUUCAGAGAUUCCAAGAAUGCUCAGAAAUGCAUUUGAAGAAUUAAAGAAUUCUGUUUAUCAGCCAUUUUCUGACAUUUUCGGUUAAUGAGUAGUUGCCUCCUCAUCCCUGAUUGGUUUGCUAAUCAAUAUGUGGGCAACAGUAACCCAGGGUUACAGUACCUAACCCAGCAAGCCUGUAAACAGUCCCUGAUGCCUUGAUGUGGGACCAAACUCCACUCUGCUAAUGUUGCUCUACAUUCAACACAAUAAAUCCAGAUUAAGACAAA